CUUCAUACACUAAAUUACACUAAACUCAUCAUAUACUUCAUCAUACACUAAAUUAUAAAGAUCAUUUUUUAAAUAUUUUGCACAUCAAAAUUUUCUAUGAAUAAAAUUUAUGUAUAUAGCAUGAGGAAGAGUCAGUAAAUAAGUUACAAAAAUUGAUAUUAUGGAAACCACAAGAGAUAUCUACAUUGUACCAUUGUUCAUUUUUCCACAUAAUCCCCUCUAUAUUUGCACAUUUGUCUCAGUGCUUUAUGAAUCCCUGAAACUCUGCAGCAUAGACCUCUUUGGCUGCUGUUACAGAUACAAGCAUAUCUCCCAUUAAAUUUCUCUAUUGUCACUGAAAUAUUGGUCUGCAAAAUGUGUUUUCAGGGUGGAAGUCAUGGGUAUGAGAUCCAAAUUGUAGGAUUGAUGUUCCAGCAUAUCCCACUGCAGUUUCUUCAUCUCUGUUAUCAUCAGUUAGGCUGUAUGUUCAUUUGUUCCUUUGACAGUUAUUUUGGCCUCCAGCAUGUGCACACUCUACAGAACUGUUUUAGCCAAAUCUUGUGAGCAUCCUUUCUCACUUGCCACUAUGUCAAUGGUGAUUUGCCUGUCAAUACAAAUCAUCACUGCAACAUGCUCCAUAGUUGUGGUGGUCACAAUCUCCACAGCCUGGUCCUGUAAAUCUUCAUCAAUUACUUGUGUGUGCCCAGUUGUGAAUUUCUCCAAUCUGUUGUGCACUACUUGUUUUGAUAAUGUGUGUUAUCCAUAAAUAGGAACAAAUUCUUUGUAAAUGUCCUUUCCUCACAAAAACUGUACAACAAACUUCUGCUCUUUAAUUGUAAACACUUCAAUACAGUACAGUCACCAUGUUAUUGUAUCUUGAUUUCACCUGCUUCUUCUGCAGGAGAUUUGAAUAAUUCCUCCUGUAGCUCAAGACUUGCCAUUUUACUUGAUACAAUCAGCAUGUCCAUGCCUGAUGCAGUCAGACGCCCACAUGUAUUUAUAACUUACUUAUUGAUUCCUACUCUUAUUUGCACAAGUGGAGUGGUAUUUAAAUAAAGUUGCAUGAUCAUUAUACAGUAUUUUCUUAUAAUAUUAUUAUAUAUUAUAAUUAUAUCUAUAUUAUUCUCUUAUGAUAUAUGUAA
rnacentral:lncRNA from 1 species